rnacentral:lncRNA from 1 species
GUAUAAUCUAACAGAGGUCUGAGUUGGUGUAUAAUCUAACAGAGGUCUGAGUUGGUGUAUAAUCUAACAGAGGUCUGAGUUGGUGUAUAAUCUAACAGAGGUCUGAGUUGGUGUAUAAUCUAACAGAGGUCUGAGUUGGUGUAUAAUCUGACAGAGGUCUGAGUUGGUGUAUAAUCCUACAGGCCUGUGGAUGGUGUGGAUAUCCUCCUGUUUUAUUUACAGCUAGUUUCUGACUGAUUCAUCCUUUUUGGAGGAAGAAAGGGAUGAUUUGCCUUCUCAAUCAUCCACAUAGCUCUGUUUCAACCUCAUGAUGUCACAACAUGUGUUUGGAAUGUGGCAUAUGCCAAGGCUUGACCAGGACUAGCUCAUAGGGGAAGCUUGGCUGUGUGUUGUACCUCGGCCAGGACUAGAUCAUAGGGGAAGCUUGGCUGUGUGUUGUACCUCGGCCAGGACUAGAUCAUAGGGGAAGCUUGGCUGUGUGUUGUACCUCGGCCAGGACUAGCUCAUAGGGGAAGCUUGGCUGUGUGUUGUACCUCGGCCAGGACUAGAUCAUAGGGGAAGCUUGGCUGUGUGUUGUACCUUGUGUCAUGCCUGCUCCCGCUCCCCCUCCUCGGCGCUCAAGGGCGCCAGGCUGCCCAUCAUUACGCAC